AUUGAACGCUGGCGGCAUGCCUUACACAUGCAAGUCGAACGGCAGCACGGGAGCAAUCCUGGUGGCGAGUGGCGAACGGGUGAGUAAUAUAUCGGAACGUGCCCAGUCGUGGGGAUAACGUAGCGAAAGCUACGCUAAUACCGCAUACGAUCUAUGGAUGAAAGCGGGGGAUCGCAAGACCUCGCGCGAUUGGAGCGGCCGAUAUCAGAUUAGGUAGUUGGUGAGGUAAAGGCUCACCAAGCCGACGAUCUGUAGCUGGUCUGAGAGGACACCAGCCACACUGGGACUGAGACACGGCCCAGACUCUACGGGAGCAGCUAGUGGGGAAUUUUGGACAAUGGGCNCAAGCCUGAUCCAGCAAU
rnacentral:rRNA from 1 species